ACUCAAUAAUAACAAGGGGACAGGCUGUACAGUGCCCUGCUAGGGUGUAAGUACGAAAAAAAAAAAAAACAUACUUUGAAUAGGGGGAAGGAGGGAAAAUAGUAUUAAACAAUCCUAUUUUCACUCCUUCCCCUUAUUCAAAGUACAUUUUUUUCAUACUUACACCCUAGCAGGGCACUGUACAGCCUGUCCCCUUGUUAUUACUGAGUU